UAUCUCAAUAAUAUCUCCAUCAAGUGUGAGUACAUUCACUAUGCUCCCCCUCAAGCGGAAGCUCUUUCAUCCACAUGAUUGUACCGUCAUUGAAAGACACCCUUAUCUCGUCAUAGGCACUUCAACGGAACACUCCGUCUGACCACCAUGUCAGGAAGACUUUCGAUACAAGGAGUUGGUCCCUUACUCGAACAUCGCCUCUAAUACCAUUAUUGGAUCA
rnacentral:lncRNA from 1 species